rnacentral:tmRNA from 1 species
GGGGGUGUAUUUUGGUAUUCGAUGAGUAUUUGUUUGGAUACUGCCACAGUCGCGAAGGAACGCGUAAUAACCAAAUUAAAUUAAUUGCUAAAAACAAACUUGCUAAUGUAUUUGGUGCAAACCAAAGCAUGGCUUUUGCUGCUUAAUUGAGUCGUAGAUAGACCUUGCAGCCCGGUUGACUGAUCUUUGCUUUCUUUGUCAGCAACACGCGUUAAAACUAAGAAGAUAGGGAUAAGUGAUCAUUCUAAGCUUGUCAUGAAAAUUCUAGAAUGGCAUCAAUGAGCAAUCGUUUCUAUCCGGUUCCAUUGAUCAUAAAGAUAGAAAAAACUGUAAACGCAAUAUCGUGGGACGAUGCUUAGACAGGAGUUCGACUCUCCUCACCUCCACCA